AGAGUUUGAUCCUGGCUCAGAUUGAACGCUGGCGGCAGGCCUAACACAUGCAAGUCGAACGGUAGCACAGAGAUCUUGCUCUCGGGUGACGAGUGGCGGACGGGUGAGUAAUGUCUGGGAAACUGCCUGAUGGAGGGGGAUAACUACUGGAAACGGUAGCUAAUACCGCAUAACGUCGCAAGACCAAAGAGGGGGACCUUCGGGCCUCUUGCCAUCAGAUGUGCCCAGAUGGGAUUAGCUAGUACGUGGGGUAACGGCUCACCUAGGCGACGAUCCCUAGCUGGUCUGAGAGGAUGACCAGCCACACUGGAACUGAGACACGGUCCAGACUCCUACGGGAGGCAGCAGUGGGGAAUAUUGCACAAUGGGCGCCAGCCUGAUGCAGCCAUGCCGCGUGUAUGAAGAAGGCCUUCGGGUUGUAAAGUACUUUCAGCGGGGAGGAAGGUGUUGUGGUUAAUAACCGCAGCAAUUGACGUUACCCGCAGAAGAAGCACCGGCUAACUCCGUGCCAGCCGCCGCCGGUAAUACCGAGGGUGCCAGCGUUAAUCGCAAUUCCUGGGGCGGUAAAGCGCACGCANGGCGGUCUGUCNAGUNCNGAUGUGAAAAUCCCCGGGGCUCAAC
rnacentral:rRNA from 1 species